UGCCAUAUCACGUUGAAACACCAGCUCCCGUACGAUCACCGAAGUUAAGCAACGUCGAGCUUGGUCUAUACCUAGAUGAGUGACCGCUUGGGAAUACCAAGUGCUGUAAG
rnacentral:rRNA from 1 species